AGGACCUGCUACCCUCCAAGACACCCGGAAACCUUGUACCAGCUGGACUGGGCCAUCUACCUGUGGGAGACAGGACAAAGCACACCAGGGGGAGAGCUGGAGCCACUGAAAGGAAAGCAUGACCACCUAUUCCAGGCCGGGCCACCAGGACAGACCUGGAACCAGGCAGUCCCAGGUGGGGCCCUCACCGUGAACACUGAGGGAGCCGGAUGCUUCGGCGCGGCCCACGCUGUUCUCCGCCACACAGGU